rnacentral:rRNA from 1 species
ACACCCUAUUAUUUUAAAUUAUUUAUUGAUUUUUUUUUCCUACCUUAUAUUANGAAUGUAAAUUAAANAUUUAAANAACUUGGCGGUGUCCUAAACUACUUAGGGGAACCUGUUUUCNANUCGAUACCCCUCGUUNUCCCUUAUCUUUUUUUGUU